AACUUAACAGCCACGAAAUCGCGA
rnacentral:siRNA from 1 species